GAUGAACGCUGGCGGCGUGCCUAACACAUGCAAGUCGGACGGUGGUGACCUUUCGGGGUGACCACAGUGGCGCACGGGUGAGGAACACGUAGCUGACCUGCCCUGGAGCGCGGGAUAACCCUGGGAAACGAGGGCUAAGACCGCCUACGCUCGGCGACUGUAGAGGUCGUCGAGGAAAACCUACGGGUGCUCUGGGAGGGGGCUGCGGCCCAUCAGGUAGUUGGUGGGGUAAUGGCCUACCAAGCCGACGACGGGUCGGGGGUCUGAGAGGAUGAUCCCCCACACUGGGACUGAGACACGGCCCAGACUCCUACGGGAGGCAGCAGUGAGGAAUCUUGCACAAUGGGGGCAACCCUGAUGCAGCGACGCCGCGUGGGCGAUGAAGGUCUUCGGAUCGUAAAGCCCUUUUCUGCGUGACGAGGACAAGGACGGUAGCGCAGGAAGAAGCGUCGGCUAACUACGUGCCAGCAGCCGCGGUAAAACGUAGGACGCAAGCGUUAUCCGGAGUUACUGGGCGUAAAGGGCGUGUAGGCGGUGGGACAAGUCACUCGUGAAAGACUUCGGCUCAACCGGGGGAGGUCGGGUGAUACUGUUCGACUAGAGGAUGUCAGAGGGACACGGAAUUCCGGGUGUAGUGGUGAAAUGCGUAGAGAUCCGGAGGAACACC
rnacentral:rRNA from 1 species